GAUGAAGAACGUAGCGAAAUGCGAUAAGUAAUGUGAAUUGCAGAAUUCAGUGAAUCAUCGAAUCUUUGAACGCACAUUGCGCCCCCUGGUAUUCCGGGGGGCAUGCCUGUCCGAGCGUCAUUACAACCCUCAAGCUCAGCUUGGUAUUGGGCCCCGCCGCUCCGGCGGGCCCUAGAGUCAGUGGCGGUGCCGUCCGGCUCCGAGCGUAGUAAUUCUUCUCGCUCUGGAGGUCCGGUCGUGUGCUCGCCAGCAACCCCCAAUUUUUUUCAGGUUGACCUCGGAUCAGGUAGGGAUACCCGCUGAACUUAAGCAUAUCAAUAAGCGGAGGA
rnacentral:misc_RNA from 1 species